CGGAGGGUGCGAGCGUUGUCCGGAAUCAUUGGGCGUAAAGGGCGCGUAGGUGGCCCGGUCAGUCUUUGGUGAAAGCGCGGGGCUCAACCCUGCGUCGGCCAGGGAUACUGCCGCGGCUCGAGCGCUGUAGAGGCAGGCGGAAUUCCGGGUGUAGCGGUGGAAUGCGUAGAGAUCCGGAAGAACACCGGUGGCGAAGGCGGCCUGCUGGGCAGUUUGGCUGACACUGAGGCGCGACAGCGUGGGGAGCAAACAGGAUUAGAUACCCUGGUAGUCCACGCCGUAAACGAUGGGCACUAGGCGCUUGGGGGAGCGACCCCCCGAGGGCCGGCGCUAACGCAUUAAGUGCCCCGCCUGGGGAGUACGGCCGCAAGGCUG
rnacentral:rRNA from 1 species